rnacentral:rRNA from 1 species
UACGUAGGGUGCAAGCGUUGUCCGGAAUUAUUGGGCGUAAAGAGCUCGUAGGCGGCUAGUCACGUCGGAUGUGAAAACCCGAGGCUCAACCUCGGGCCUGCAUUCGAUACGGGCUGGCUAGAGUACUGCAGGGGAGACUGGAAUUCCUGGUGUAGCGGUGAAAUGCGCAGAUAUCAGGAGGAACACCGGUGGCGAAGGCGGGUCUCUGGGCCGAUACUGACGCUGAGGAGCGAAAGCGUGGGGAGCGAACAGG